CAAGGUUUGGCACCAAGACACCUAUAAAGCAUCAAGAGAAGAGAUGCUUCUUCAGUCGACUUCUGUUCUCGCUGCAGUCAACACCCUCUCUCUCUCUCCUCCAAAAUGAUUUCCCGCGUCGUGUUCGGACUCCUGGUCGUGGUUCUGCUGGCUGUCUCCGCCUUCGCCUUCCCCGACCCAAGCGGAGGAUACGGACACCGCAUCAUCGGAUACGGACACAUUGGACACGGAUACGGACACGGCUAUGGUGGCCACCGUGUCAUUUUAGGCUAUGGCGGCCUCGGCGGCGGGUACGGAUACAGGCCGUACUGGUGAGAGAGAAAGAAAACCGAAAGGACAAGACAACUAAGAACAUUUUCCUAAAUCUUCUCUGUUCUUCGUUCAACCUCCACUUCGAAACUGUCCGGGAUCUGUCUCCAGUAAUUGGAUAAAUAAGAUUUUAAAAGAAUAAUGAAAUCAGGUUCCAAUAACUUUCUCUUUCUCUUGUUUACAUCAACCUUCCUGCUUGACUCCUUCGUGUGUCUUGUUUGCAAUAAAGGCUGUAUUUUGCUUCAAC
rnacentral:lncRNA from 1 species